GGACUACAGGGGUAUCUAAUCCUGUUUGCUCCCCACGCUUUCGCGUCUCAGCGUCAGUCACCGUCCAGAUGGCCGCCUUCGCCACUGGUGUUCCUCCCGAUAUCUACGGAUUUCACCCCUACACCGGGAAUUCCGCCAUCCUCUCCGGGACUCGAGCCGAGCAGUUUCGAAUGCCGUUCCGAGGUUGAGCCUCGGGAUUUCACAUCCGACUUGCCCGGCCGCCUACACGCGCUUUACGCCCAGUGAUUCCGAACAACGCUCGCGCCCUCCGUAUUACCGCGGCGGCUGGCAC
rnacentral:rRNA from 1 species